CCUGGCGACCAUAGAGCAUUGGAACCACCUGACUCCAUACCGAACUCAGUAGUGAAACGAUGCAUCGCCGAUGGUAGUGUGGGGUCUCCCCAUGUGAGAGUAGGUCAUCGCCAGGCUUCAAAAAGAAAAACCCCCGUUCACGCAGUGGACGGGGGUUUUGCUUUUUGGAUGUGAUGAAUUAUUGCCACUACACCGGGUCCAUGUGACAACCCCUGCACCGCAGGUGCGGGGUUGGGGCGCCGCAGGCGUCGCGUAGCGAUUGCGCGCAGCGCGCGCAACCCACUGUAGGUCAUACCCGAUACAGCGGGGCAGGCUCUCGCCAGGCUUGUAUACCCACGCCCCGAUCAGACAUGGUCGGGGCGUUUUACGUUGGGG
rnacentral:rRNA from 1 species